rnacentral:rRNA from 1 species
GACGAACGCUGGCGGCGUGCUUAACACAUGCAAGUCGAACGGAAAGGCCCUGCGUUUGUGGGGUUCUCGAGUGGCGAACGGGUGAGUAACACGUGAGUAACCUCCCCUUGACUUUCGGAUAACUUCAGGAGACUGGGGCUAAUACCGGAUAUGAGCUCCUGCUGCAUGGUGGUGAUUGGUAAGUUUCGGCGUUUGGGGAUGUACUCGCGGCUUAUCAGCUUGUUGGUGGGGUAGUGGCUUACCAAGGUUUUGACGGGUACCCCGCCUGAGAGGGUGACAGGCCACACUGGGACUGAGAUGAGGCAGAGACUCCUAAGGGAGGGAGCAGUGGGGAAUAUUGAACAAUGGGCGGAAGCCUGAUGCAGAAACGCCGCGUGCGGGAUGACGGCCUUAGGGUUGUAAACCGAUUUUGCCUGUGACGAAGCGUGAGUGAAGGUAAUGGGUAAAGAAGCACCGGCUAACUACGUG